UGGGUGAAACUGCAAGUCGAGAGCGUGGGAAACCAGCAAGUUGAGAGAGGAUCCAGAAGUAACCCCUUCUAAAACGGGAAAGAUGCCUUCCGAAAUCUGCUCUUUACCUAUAGACCGGAUGGCCUGGUACUGGUCUUCUCUAGACUGAAGGUCCUCCACCAGGUCUCCUGCUGCUGCUACCUAAGAAAGAAAUCUCACAAGGGUGUUAAAAGCACUUGGCCCUAAAGAGAAAACACUAGGAGGAUGGGAACCAGGGACAGAGAAGCUACUUGCUCUGCAGCUGUUUGGGCCAGUAUGUUCCCUAAUCUUGAUGGCCAUCCUGGGCUUAUUUUCCUGAGAGUCUCUAAGUGACUCACUGCAUCACGUAAAACUAAGAAAAAGGAUGUCCUGAAUUUUCCUGCUUAGAGAGCUUGUUUUUCUUUCCUGUUGCAUCAAAGGGGUCUGUUAAACUUUCUAAAAGUACUAAUCUGACCUGAUAUCUGAAGUAACAGAUAGGAAUUUGGGCUCUUUAAAUGGAGCCCUUCCCCCAUACCUGCAUCUCAUUGAAGAGGCUGAACUUCAAAACAAAAUCAUGUUGGAGAAUUAAGUCUCGUUCCCAGAUUUAAUUUCUUAUUUUUAUAUUGUUGCAUAAGAAAUCUACUCUAUAAGGCAUCUAUUUUCAAAUUUGGAAAAUCUUAUUUUAAGUUCAUUUAUUUAAAGACCAACAAACAAAAACACCAAAUUCACUAGCCCAGGUCUUUAUAGAUAUCACAAUGACAGCACACUCUGCAGCGUUCCAUCCAAAAGCAGAUGAUCCAAUGGCCCCAUCUAGACUGGAGACACCAACUCAUGACUCAGCUGGCCUUGUGGCCCACACCCAGAAGUGGACUCAGUGCAUGAGGACUAUUUUCCACACUCCUAUGAUAGCAUCCCCAACCAAUCAGCAGGACCAUUUCCUAGCC
rnacentral:lncRNA from 1 species